rnacentral:rRNA from 1 species
CCUACGGGAGGCAGCAGUCGAGAAUCAUUCACAAUGGGGGAAACCCUGAUGGUGCGACGCCGCGUGGGGGAAUGAAGGUCUUCGGAUUGUAAACCCCUGUCAUGUGGGAGCAAGUUAAAAAGAUAGUACCACACGAGGAAGAGACGGCUAACUCUGUGCCAGCAGCCGCGGUAAUACAGAGGUCUCAAGCGUUGUUCGGAAUCACUGGGCGUAAAGCGUGCGUAGGCUGUUUCGUAAGGCGUGUGUGAAAGACGCGGGCUCAACCCGCGGACGGCACAUGAUACUGCGAGACUAGAGUAAUGGAGGGGGAAGCGGAAUGCUGGGUGUAGCAGUGAAAUGCGUAGAUAUCGAGAGGAACACUCGUGGCGAAGGCGGGUUCCUGGACAUUAACUGACGCUGAGGCACGAAGGCCAGGGGAGCGAAAGGGAUUAGAUACCCGGGUAGUC